GAUGAACGCUGGCGGCGUGCCUAAUACAUGCAAGUCGAGCGAACAGAUAAGGAGCUUGCUCCUUUUACGUUAGCGGCGGACGGGUGAGUAACACGUGGGUAACCUACCUAUAAGACUGGGAUAACUUCGGGAAACCGGAGCUAAUACCGGAUAACAUUUGGAACCGCAUGGUUCUAAAGUGAAAGAUGGUUUUGCUAUCACUUAUAGAUGGACCCGCGCCGUAUUAGCUAGUUGGUAAGGUAACGGCUUACCAAGGCGACGAUACGUAGCCGACCUGAGAGGGUGAUCGGCCACACUGGAACUGAGACACGGUCCAGACUCCUACGGGAGGCAGCAGUAGGGAAUCUUCCGCAAUGGGCGAAAGCCUGACGGAGCAACGCCGCGUGAGUGAUGAAGGGUUUCGGCUCGUAAAACUCUGUUAUUAGGGAAGAACAAAUGUGUAAGUAACUGUGCACGUCUUGACGGUACCUAAUCAGAAAGCCACGGCUAACUACGUG
rnacentral:rRNA from 1 species